GCUCAGUAACACGUGGACAACGUACCCUAAAGUGGAGCAUAAUCUCGGGAAACUGAGGAUAAUUCUCCAUAGACCAUGAGAUCUGGAAUGACUUAUGGUUCAAAGUUCCGGCGCUUUAGGAUCGGUCUGCGGCCUAUCAGGUAGUAGUGGGUGUAACGUACCCCCUAGCCGUUGACGGGUAUGGGCCUUGAGAGAGGGAGCCCAGAGUUGGAUUCUGAGACACGAAUCCAGGCCCUACGGGGCGCAGCAGUCGCGAAAACUUCACAAUGGGCGAAAGCCCGAUGAGGGAAUUCCUAGUGCUAGCACUUUUGUGCUAGCUUUUCUUCAGCGUAGAUAACUGGAGGAAUAAGGGCUGGGUAAGACGGGUGCCAGCCGCCGCGGUAAUACCCGCAGCCCGAGUGGUGGUCGAUUUUAUUGAGUCUAAAACGUUCGUAGCCGGUCUAAUAAAUCCUUGGGUAAAUCGGAAGGCUUAACUUUCCGAAUUCCGAGGAGACUGUUAGGCUUGGGAUCGGGAGAGGUAAGAGGUACUUCAGGGGUAGGGGUAAAAUCCUGUAAUCCUUGGAGGACCACCGGUGGCGAAGGCGUCUUACUAGAACGAAUCCGACGGUGAGGGACGAAGCCCUAGGUCGCAAACGGGAUUAGAUACCCCGGUAGUCUAGGGUGUAAACGCUGCAGACUUGGUGUUGGGGGCCCUUCGGGGGCAUUCAGUGCCGGAGAGAGGUUGUUAAGUCUGCUACUUGGGGAGUAC
rnacentral:rRNA from 1 species